UAUUUAAUUUUAAUAAUUGUUUUUUAAUAAAAUAUUUAGUAUGAAUAAAUUUUAUUUUUAAAUUACUGUCGAGGCAAAUUUUUAUAAAUUAGUAUUUAUAGGUUGUACCUUUUGUAUCAGGGUUAAUUAAUUAUAAAAAUUAUUUUUAUUCCCGAAAUGGAAUUACUUAGUAAAAUUUAAUUUUAUUUGUUGUAAUAAAUUUAUAAAAAUCUUAUUUAUAAUUAAAAGUUAAUUGAUUUCUAUUUAUAUCUGGUUAUUUUAGACUAAAUUUAAUUUUGAAUUACUUAAUUUAUUAAUAUUUUUAAGUUUUAAUUUUAUAUUAUUAGGGAUAAUCUUAAUAUUUUUAUAUAAUUUUAAUUAUUUUAUUUGAAUUAAUUUUUGAAUUUUAAAUUAAGUUUAUAAUUAAUUAAUUUAAUUCAAUUAAAUUUUUUCUUUUUUAUUUUCUUAUAAAGUAAAUUUAUAUAUUAGUUUUUAUUUUUUAUAAUGAUUAAAUUAGUAUAGUAUUAAUAUAUGUAGUUUGAAUUCAACAAUUAUUUUUUUCAACUGUUUAUCAAAAACAUUUCCUUUAGGUUUAGGGUUAAAGGUAAUUUCUGCCCUAUGAAUAUUUAAAUGGCUGCAGUAUUCUGACUGUGCAAAGGUAGCAUAAUAAUUAGCCUUUUAAUUAAGGGCUUGUAUGAAGGAAUUAAUGAGAAAUAUAUUAUAAUUAUUAAUAGUUCUUUAAUUUAAUUUUUUAGUAAAAAAGCUGAAUUUUUAAUAUGGGACGAAAAGACCCUAAGAACUUUAAAUAAUUUAUUAAAUAUUAUUUUAUAUUAAUAAAUUUUAUUAAAUUGUUUUUUAUUGGGGUGAUAAAUAAAUUUAAACUUUAUUUUUUAUAUUCUUUAAUUUAAGGUUUAUUUGAUUCAAUUAGUUGGUUUAAGAAAAAGUUACCUUAGGGAUAACAGCGUAAUUUAGAUGGAGAGUUCUUAUUAAUAUUUAAGUUUGCGACCUCGAUGUUGAAUUAAGAUAAAUUUAGGGGGCAGCACCUUUUUGUUUAAGUCUGUUCGACUUUUAAAUUCUUACAUGAUUUGAGUUCAAACCGGUGAGAGCCAGGUUGGUUUCUAUCUUUAUUUAUUUAAUUUAAUUUAGUACGAAAGGACCAAUUAAUUUAUUUUAAUUUAAUAUUUUUAUUAAUAAAUUUAAUUUA
rnacentral:rRNA from 1 species